UACGUAGGGUGCAAGCGUUAAUCGGACUUACUGGGCGUAAAGCGUGCGCAGGCGGUGAUGUAAGACAGUUGUGAAAUCCCCGGGCUCAACCUGGGAACUGCAUCUGUGACUGCAUUGCUGGAGUGCGGCAGAGGGGGAUGGAAUUCCGCGUGUAGCAGUGAAAUGCGUAGAUAUGCGGAGGAACACCGAUGGCGAAGGCAAUCCCCUGGGCCUGCACUGACGCUCAUGCACGAAAGCGUGGGGAGCAAACAGG
rnacentral:rRNA from 1 species